ACAGUGAGAAGAUCGUGGACGAAGGCACUGUAAUGAAAAGAAUGGGAACCAACACAUUGUAGUAAUAUAAUGUUCUGAUCAUUGCCACGAAGUUGAUAUUGAUUGAAUGUCAUAGCCAUGUGUUUGUACAAGAGACGGAGCUGUGUCUUGCACUUUCCCAUCAUUUACAUCAUAAUUGCAAACUUUACAGGAGCAACAACUGUUGCGUGUGGAGAUCCAGACCGAGGGAUGAGAGAUGGUGCGCGGUGAAGCCGGAAGACGCGUGCAGCGCCUGGCGUCGUUGACGGGGCCCUCCUGCGUGGCCCUCUUGCCCGCGGUGAUGGACAUCAGCCGACUGAGCGGACCGCGGCACAACACCGAAAUGGCGGGAACCACGGAAGCAGACCAUCCAGUAGGAGGGAUUCGGUAAUUCCAGCUGAUGACCAAUGUUCAGGCUGCGAUGGGUCCUUCUACCUGGUGCAGCGGUUGCAAGGAGCGCCGUGUGUAGAAACAAAAUCGAGUUCUUGAAGACA